CAUGGAACUCAGAGCAAAAAGUGAAGGAAUUGGAACUCUCUAUCUGGACUGGGCAGUAAGCAAGGGCAUUCUCAUAAAAGUGUUAGUCUAGUUGAGAUACGAAGUCCAGCUUGGAGUGAACUAGGUAGAGAUCUGCUGAGGGUGGGGUAAAGAGGGAGGAGAGAUUUUCAGAAAGCAUAACAAGAAAUACAGUUAUCCAGUGAUAAGGGAGAGCACUUUGGAUUCCGGGACCUGAAGGAGGGCCUUGUGCCUGGCACAAAGGCUCCAACAAGGUGUGCUGAACUGGUGAAGCUGGAAAGACAGACAGAGUCUUGCACUGUCACCCAGCUGGAGUGCAAUGGCACCAUCUAGGCUCACUGCAACCUCCGCCUCCCAGCUCCACAGUAGCCUGGAAAACAAUAGCCUGCAACUAUGGUGAAAACCAGCAGCCUGGCAGUCAUCAGAGGAGAUUUAUGUAUGUUGAGCCAACCCUGCAUCCUCAGGAUGGAGCCUACUUGAUUGUGAUGGAAUAA
rnacentral:lncRNA from 13 species